GAUGAACGCUAGCGGGAGGCCUAACACAUGCAAGCCGAGCGGGAUUUGUUGGUUAGCUUGCUAACUAACAAUGAGAGCGGCGUACGGGUGCGUAGCACGUGUGCAACCUGCCUUUAUCUGGGGGGUAGCCUUUCGAAAGGAAGAUUAAUACCCCAUAACAUAUUGAUUGGCAUCAGUUAAUAUUGAAAGCUCCGGCGGAUAGAGAUGGGCACGCGUAAGAUUAGCUAGUUGGUGAGGUAACGGCUCACCAAGGCUGCGAUCUUUAGGGGGCCUGAGAGGGUGAUCCCCCACACUGGUACUGAGACACGGACCAGACUCCUACGGGAGGCAGCAGUGAGGAAUAUUGAACAAUGGGGGAGAGCCUGAUCCAGCCAUCCCGCGUGAAGGACUAAGGACCUAUGGUUUGUAAACUUCUUUUAUACAGGGAUAAACCUACUCUCGUGAGGGUAGCUGAAGGUACUGUAUGAAUAAGCACCGGCUAACUCCGUG
rnacentral:rRNA from 1 species